rnacentral:rRNA from 1 species
AUUGAACGCUAGCGGGAUGCUUUACACAUGCAAGUCGAACGCGUGGGGGACGGGUGAGUAAUAUAUCGGAACGUGCCCAGUAGCGGGGGAUAACUACUCGAAAGAGUGGCUAAUACCACAUACUAUUAGAGAGGCCGAUAUCGGUGUCGCUAGUUGGUGGGGUAAAGGCUCACCAAGGAAACGAGCCGUCGCUGGGUUGAGAGGACGACCAGCCACACUGGGACUGAGACACGGCCCAGACUCCUACGGGAGGCAGCAGUGGGGAAUGUGGGACAAGGGGGGAAACCCUGAUCCAGCCAUCCCGCGUGUAUGAGAAGGCCUUCGGGUUGUAAAGUACUUUUGGCAGAGAAGCGGUAUCUGCAGAAUAAGCACCGGCUAACUACGUGCCAGCCGCCGCGGUAAUAC